UACGUAGGUGGCAAGCGUUGUCCGGAUUUAUUGGGCGUAAAGCGAGCGCAGGUGGUUUCUUAAGUCUGAUGUGAAAGCCCACGGCUCAACCGUGGAAGGUCAUUGGAAACUGGGGAACUUGAAUGCAGAAGAGGAGAGUGGAAUUCCAUGUGUAGCGGUGAAAUGCGUAGAUAUAUGGAGGAACACCAGUGGCGAAGGCGACUCUCUUGUCUGUUAUUGACACUGAGGCUCGAAAGCGUGGGGAGCAAACAGGAUUAGA
rnacentral:rRNA from 1 species